AGCAAUCUGCCCAUAUCUGGGGGAUAACAGUUGGAAACGACUGAUAAUACCGCAUAACGAUGGUUUGAAGGCAUCUUCUUUCCGUCAAAGAUUUAUCGGAUAUGGAUGAGCUCGCGUCUGAUUAGCUUGUUGGUGAGGUAACGGCUCACCAAGGCGACGAUCAGUAGCCGACCUGAGAGGGUGAUCGGCCACAUUGGAACUGAGACACGGUCCAAACUCCUACGGGAGGCAGCAG
rnacentral:rRNA from 1 species